rnacentral:rRNA from 1 species
AGCAGCCGCGGUAAUUCCAGCUCCAAUAGCGUAUAUUAAAGUUGUUGCAGUUAAAAAGCUCGUAGUUGAAUUUCGGGGUUAGUAGUUUGGUCAUGCCUCUGGUAUGUACUGGUCUCACUGAUUCCUCCUUCCUGAUGAGCCGUAAUGCCAUUAAUUUGGUGUUGCGGGGAAUUUGGACUGUUACUUUGAAAAAUUAGAGUGUUUAAAGCAAGCUAACGCUUGAAUACAUUAGCAUGGAAUAAUGAAAUAGGACGUUCGAUCCUAUUUUGUUGGUUUCUAGGAUUGACGUAAUGAUUAAUAGGGAUAGUUGGGGGCAUUAGUAUUCAAUUGUCAGAGGUGAAAUUCUUGGAUUUAUUGAAGACUAACUACUGCGAAAGCAUUUGCCAAGGAUGUUUUCAUUAAUCAAGAACGAAAGUUAGGGGAUCGAAGACGAUCAGAUACCGUCGUAGUCUUAACCAUAAACUAUGCCGACUAGGGAUCGGAUGAUGUUAAUUUUUAAUGACUCAUUCGGCGCCUUAAC